AGAAUAACACUCGUGCGCAUGCGUUGGACGAAUGAAGCACAUGGAGCCUGAAAUCGAAGUACAUUUUUUAAUAACUUAAUCGUAGUUUUAAUUAUUAAGUGUGCAGAAUAUUUGCUAGUACGUGAUUUUUUCUGGCUUUUGCUAGUUGACUCAUUUGCAUAAUUCACCAGACCAUGGUCUCAUUACAAUGAUGUAAUGAUAAUGAAUAUUCAUUGUCAGACACUACAAAAAUCAGGACCAAUUUUAUUAUUAAUGCUGUUUGCUAGUUGAAUCAUUUGCAUUAUUCACCAGACCGUGGUCUCAUCACAAUGAUGUAAUGAUAAUGAAUAUUCAUUGUCAGACACUACAAAAAUCAUGAAACUGCUGAAGUGACACCAUAGCAAUGCAACUUCUAGAUAGCAUAUAUAUCUUUCACUCAAGCUAUGUGUGGCAGGCCGCACAGCAGCAGCUUUAGCAUGCGGCAACCCACUACUACUCACUAGGGGCUUUUGCUAGUUGACUCAUUUGCAUAAUUCACCAGACCAUGGUCUCAUCACAAUGAUGUAAUGAUAAUGAAUAUUCAUUGUCAGACACUACAAAAAUCAGGAUCAUUUUUAUUAUUAAUGCUUUUGCUAGUUGACUCAUUUGCACAAUUCACCAGACCAUGGUCUCAUCACAAUGAUGUAAUGAUAAUGAAUAUUCAUUGUCAGACACUACGAAAAUCAGGACCAUUUUUAUUAUUAAUGCUGUUUGCUAGUUGACUCAUUUUCAGUGAGGCUAUGUGUGGCAGGCCGCACAGCAGCGACUGUAGUACAUGGUAACCAACUACUGCCUCUUUAGACUGACAAGGUCCAGAAUCGAAUGAACAUUUUAAAGAUAGUGGACAAAAAACGAAAACCGAGGAUAGUGGUUACGUAAUACAUCCUGCACCAUACUGGCUGUGUGGACAUGUUCAUAAGCGCCCCUACCGUUCUUGUCCUGAAGUAAAAUGUAUGAUUUCAUUGCUAGAUGUGGCUUCAAGAUGAUUUAAGAUUCAUGAUAAUGAUUGCGAUAUGAAGAGAAGAGUUGACUAAGAGAUACAAGAAACUAAUGUCUUAAACAAAAUUCAACCACAAAGAAAAAUAUAUUUUGUAUUUUAUGAUUAAAAAUGAAGUCAUCGCUCUGUUAACUCCACCUAGCGAGAACUGUGAACCAAUCUGCAAGAAGCCGAGAUGCUUUUUCUGAUUUAUUUUAAGUGAAGACAAUAUCUUUAAUAAUUCAAAUACAUAACUGAUUGAUAAUUUAGAUAGGCCUAUGGUAUUGUAUUGUAUUGAUAAAUUAGUGCUGUAUAUGAUAAAUUAGAUAGGCCUAUGGUAUUGUAUUGUAUUGAUAAAUUAGAUAGGCCUAUGGUAUAUGUAUUAAUAAAUUUAUGCUGUAUGCCGGCAAACAAAGAAGGGUACAGAGGCAAGAAGACUGGAGGUAAGUGGGUUGGUUAUUUACUCAAAGAUCUUAUAACAAGACAGCGCACUUGCCGUUUGUAAGCGUAAUGUAUUAGACUUUCAUGGGACUGCACAAUAUGUAAAGCUCAAUAGGUUUUUGACUAUUUGUACGCAUAAUGAAUUUGAAAACUCCAUGUGACUACACGCUCGUAACAACUAAAACCUAAUUAAAGUGACCUGCGAGUUUGUUAUAAGAUCUUUGAUCCUCCAAGUAAGAUGAGGGUGCCUUCAUCUUAACUAGAGGGCGGUAUCUAUUACAUUAAAUAGUGCUUCUAAAUAAAAUGGGGGCGCUAUUUAAUGCAAGAGAUGCUGCCCUCUAGUUAAGGUGAGGCCCUUCAUUUUAACUAGAGGGCAGUAUCUAUUGUAUUAAAUAGCACCCCUAAAUAAAAUGAGGGCGCUAUUUAAUGCAUGAGAUACUGCCCUCUAGUUAAGGUGAAGGGCCCUCAUUUUAACUAGAGGGCAGUAUUUAUUGCAUUAAAUAGCACCCCUAAAUAAAAUGAGGGUGCUAUUUAAUGCAUGAGAUACUGCCCUCUAUGGAAAAUGAGGGCGCCCUCAUUUUAACUAGGGGGCAGUAUCGCAUUAAGUAGCGCCUCUAAAUAAAGUGAGGGCGCUAUUUAAUGCAACCUAGUUUUGUUUAGAGGUGGUAUUCGGGUUGGUGAUGAAAACAAUGAUGCAAGGAACAAAUAAAGACAAGAAUUU